GAUGAACGCUGGCGGCGUGCCUCAAACAUGCAAGUCGAGCGGGGAUUAGCGAAAGGAUUACCUUGAGCUAAUUCUAGCGGCGGACGGGUGAGUAACGCGUGGGCAACUUGCCUCAUACAGAGGGAUAACACCGGGAAACCGGUGCUAAUACCACAUAAAAUAAUUACAUGGCAUCAUGAAAUUAUCAAAGGAGAAAUCCGGUAUGAGAUGGGCCCGCGUCCGAUUAGCUAGUUGGAGAGGUAAGAGCUCACCAAGGCGACGAUCGGUAGCCGAACUGAGAGGUUGAUCGGCCACAUUGGGACUGAGGCACGGCCCAGACUCCUACGGGAGGCAGCAGUGGGGAAUCUUGGGCAAUGGGCGAAAGCCUGACCCAGCGACGCCGCGUUGGGGAUGAAGCCCUUCGGGGCGUAAACCCAUGUUGUAGGGGACGAAGAAAGUGACGGUACCCUACGAGAAAGCCCCGGCCAACUACGUG
rnacentral:rRNA from 1 species